AUGGCUGAUAAGCAGAUCAGCCUGCCAGCCAAGCUCAUCAAUGGCGGCAUCGCCGGGCUGAUCGGUGUCACCUGCGUGUUUCCCAUCGACCUGGCCAAGACCAGGCUGCAGAACCAGCAGAACGGCCAGCGCGUGUACACGAGCAUGUCCGACUGCCUCAUCAAGACCGUCCGCUCCGAGGGCUACUUCGGCAUGUACCGGGGAGCUGCUGUGAACUUGACCCUCGUCACCCCCGAGAAGGCCAUCAAGCUGGCAGCCAACGACUUCUUCCGACAUCAGCUCUCUAAGGACGGGUGAGGGUUCUGCCUGGCAGACACUCGAGGGGUCUUUGGCUUCAGAUAAAG
rnacentral:lncRNA from 1 species